AUUGAACGCUGGCGGCAGGCCUAACACAUGCAAGUCGAACGAGUGGCGGAAGGGUGAGUAAUGUAUGGGAAACUGCCCGAUGGAGGGGGAUAAAUACUGGAAACGUUAGCUAAUACCGCAUACCAUCGGAUGUGCACAGAUGAGAUUAGCUAGUAGGUGGGGUAACGGCUCACCUAGGAAACGAUCCCUAGCUGGUCUGAGCGGAUGAAGAGCCACACUGGUACGGAGACAGGGUCCCGACUCCUACGGGAGGCAGAAGUGGGGAUUAUUGGCCAAUGGGCGCAAGCCUGAUGCAGCCAUGCCGCGUGUAUGAAGAAGGCCUUCGAGUUGUAAAGUACUUUCAGCGAGGAGGCGUUACUCGCAGAAGAAGCACCGGCUAACUCCGUGCCAGCCGCCGCGGUAAUUC
rnacentral:rRNA from 1 species